UACGUGCGUAAAGCCCGACUUCUGGAAGGGCCGCAUUUGUUAGAUACCAGGCCGACCGAGCUUUGCUCGACCCGCGGUGAAUCAUGAUAACUUCGCGAAUCGCACAGCCUUGUGCUGGCGAUGUUUCAUUCAAAUUUCUGCCCUAUCAACUUUCGAUGGUAGGAUAGAGGCCUACCAUGG
rnacentral:rRNA from 1 species